rnacentral:rRNA from 1 species
UGCCCACUGAUAAAAAUUAAAGGGCUGCAGUAAUUUGACUGUACAAAGGUAGCAUAAUCAUUAGUCAUUUAAUUGAUGACUUGUAUGAAAGAUUGGAUGAAAUAUAAACUGUCUUUAUAGUAAAAUAUAGAAUUUAAUUUUUUAAUUAAAAAGUUAAAAUAAUUAAAAAAGACGAGAAGACCCUAUAGAGUUUAAUUAUUUUAUUAAUAGAUAAUAUUUAUAAAUAAAUAUAAAAUUAAAUUGAUAGAAUAAUUUUAUUGGGGUGAUAGAAAAAUUUAAUUAACUUUUUUUUUUAUAGAACAUAAAUAAAUGAAUAAUUGAUCCAAUAUUAUUGAUUAUAAGAAAAAAUUACCUUAGGGAUAACAGCGUAAUUUUUUUUUUUAGUUCAUAUAAAAAAAAAAGUUUGCGACCUCGAUGUUGGAUUAAGAUAAAAUUUAAAUGUAGAAGUUUAAAGUUUUGA